AUGUUUAUCACUUUGCUUUGCAGUAUCAAAGGUUCAUACAGUAAUUCACUUGGUUCCGCUGGUUGUCCAUUUUAUUGCUCAUAUUCGGGAUUCAAGGUGGACUACAUAUUAGGCGAAAAUCCUCUAAGAAUGUCCUAUAUGGUAGGGUAUGGUCCAUACUUUCCUAAGAGGAUUUUCCAGUGGUUCUUCAUUGCCUUCACUAUCAGUUCAUCUACAAACAAUAGGCUGUGA